GGACGGUGAUGAUUAUUAUGUUUAAGGUCUCGUUCGUCGUAACUGGCUAUGGAAAUGGCCUUGACGACCAUCCUUAUAUCUGAGUCC